CUCCCAAGCCUAACCCUCUCAGUUUUCUUUGUAUUACAGGUUAUGGCACGAGAGUAUAAGUUGGCUGACAUAACGAGAGAUUUUGGAUUAUAGGCUAGUAGUUAUGAAUAACUGUUGUAAGGUCUAUUUUGUUCUGAUUAUGUUUUUGGUCUAUAUUGAACAUGACAUCCCGAGAUUUUGUUAUAAAAUGAAAAUACAUUUCUUUAAAGAAAUGCUUUGAUAAAUCUUUAUCAUAUUUUGGCAACAAAUUCCGCAACUGUUUUAUUUAAAAGAUUACUCUGAUUUUAAAAAAAAAAAACAAAGGUUAAACAAAUCGGUCUUUCUGGCUGUGAAAUUAGGGAUGUCACNGUGAAAUUGGGGAUGUCACAGUUGGUAUCAGAGCAUUAGUUUAAGCGAACUAGGAAUUUGUAGGAAAUUUCUAGACUUAAACUUAGAAUGCUAAGUAAUGAUUGUGAGGAGUGUGUCUAAAAUAUGAUAGGUAGUACACCUAAAUUGACACAAGCACUACUUUAUUUUAGGAAUGAUGCCUAAAAUGCUUUUAUGUGCUAAUUGUUUUGUGUGAUAGCUAAAUUGAUGCUAUUAUUUGUUCGGAUCUGUUCUCUGUUGCUGACUAGAUCUGGAAACCAUAUGUGUAUAGGAUUCUAAGCGUAUGACUACGAUAUUAGAACUAGCAUGUAAACGUUUCGGAGGGAUAAGGAGAUUUAUACGUUUAUCAUAAAUGAAGCUUUCUUAUCUUAAAUUCUCGCCGGUACAUCGAACGUCUGCUUGGGUGUACAAAAGGUCAUGGUGAAGACUUGUAGAGAAUUGAGUAAAUGAAGGAAAUGAAAAGGGCUUAUGAUAGUGAAUGACACCUAUCGGAAGAUAUCGUAAGAGUGGUGUCAUGCCUUUAUUUUAUGUAUGAUAAAAUAACGGAACGUUUAGAGGAGUACGGUACGUCUUAAGUACACCUUCGAUUAGUUGGAUGAUGGAACGGUUGGUGUAAUUCUUGAAGUUGUACCAUCGUUUGGAAUUUCCAUCACGAAUCGAGUUGAAGUAGAAUUGAUGAUUGUAGAUUGAGCAAUGAAGAAAUCCUAGUAUAGUCUUGGGAAAUUUCUAUGAUUAUUUGGACACUUUCGUAUGUGUUAAAUUGUUGUGUGAUUUUCUUGUAUGGUGACUUGGUCAACUGCGGGACAAUACUUGGGACGAGUAUGAGUAGGUGUGAAAGGUAGUAGAUGCAUAUACUACCGGAAGCACAGGACUCACACUUGGAUCACGUAAAGUCACAAGGUUACCAAGAAGCUCGUAAUUGAUUCCGUUGUGUUCAAGUGUGUCAUUACCCUUAUUUUGGUAGUGACUAGUAAGAUGGUUGUUAUUCCGACCCUAGUGGUCAUAUCAAAUUGAUUCUGACUACGAGGAGUUUGCUAUGUGGUUCAUAGAACCAAGUUCAAGGUACCAUCUGACUCAAGUCAGAAGAUUGAAAUCAAUGCGAUUGAUAGUAUCACGCUCGUUAAAAAAAAGGGAGUUUGUAGCUAGGCAUGCAACAUGUUAAAAAUAUGAUUAUAUCACAUUAGAAUAUGAAGGAAGGUUUAUUCCAUUCUGGAAUUUGACUCUAAGAGACUUGAUUCUAAGUGUUGCAUCAUACGAUGAGAGGUCAUUAGAACAUGACCCAUCGAUCUAUUGCAAUAGAUGAAUGAAAGUACUUAUCCUAAGAAGAAGAAGUAGUCCUCUAUAAGGAUUUAUUUUGUAACUCGGAAGUUAUGAUUGAAAUUAUAGCAUAGUACGAUAAGAAGAUGCAAGAUUGGGCAUCGUCUGCGGUCAAGAAAUCCAUAGAGUUAAAUACUCUUUCGAGGAAACAUAGAAGUUACGGUUAUUACUAGGAUGAAGAGAUAAUGUGCGGAAUCAUUAUGCAAGCCCUAUUUCGUAAAUGAUUCCGGGACGUAAUCAUCCUAAGGGGGAGAUAAUUCUAACGCCCGUAGAUCCAGGCUAGUCAAUUUAGAGACGAUAAGCAUCACAAAUGACUUUUUGAUGGAAGAUUAUUUAGAAGGAUUAAUCUUAACCAAGUUGUAGUAUAUGUCACAAGGUUUUCGUGUAUAUAAAGAAGGCCAAAAUCCAAGUUACAACGAAGAAGUUAUGACCUGUCGAAGUUUCGUGACAGAACCGGCACGACCCAGCGCGACGUAAAUAGUGAAUUUAAGGUAGAUAGAUAUCUAUCCUUAGUGAUCUAAACGAGACUCAAAGAUGUCUUUGAUAGUAGUCCAAAAAUAAAAAGACAGACGAAAACGGAGUUCAGAUGAAGGAGUUAUGANNNNNNNNNNNNNNNNNNNNNNNNNNNNNNNNNNNNNNNNNNNNNNNNNNNNNNNNNNNNNNNNNNNNNNNNNNNNNNNNNNNNNNNNNNNNNNNNNNNNUUAAAAAUAAAGUCAAAAUUAGCCAAUGGAGUCUAAACGAGAGUCUUUGAGCAUAAUCUCACAUACGCGUCGAUAUAAAGAACUUCGAAAACGGACUUCGUAUGCGAAAGUUAUGAAUUUCUGAAGUCCGGGGCGCGAAACCCUAAAACUGUCAGAUACUACGACGAGGCAAGCAGUGCAACGAUGCGGCAAGUCUUCUGACACCUCCGGGAGUCCCUUAGAUGCAACUUGCGAUGACGCAUGCAUUGUCGACCAAGCCCACGACGUGGAAAAAGGCCCCACAACGUGGCAAGGGCANUCUGAAGUUCGGGGCGCGAAACCCCAAAACUGUCAGAUACCAUGACGAGGCAAGCAGUGCGACGACGUGGCAAAUCUUCUGACACCUCCGAGAGUCCCCUAGAUGCAACUUUGACGCAUGCNCCUAGAUGCAACUUGCAAUGACGCAUGCAGUGAUGACCAAGCCCAUGACGUGGAAAAAGGUGCCACGACGUGGCAAGGGCAGAUUUUUCCCUAUAAAUAGAUUUGAAGGGCCAACCGAGUUUGGUUGCUCAUUCUCUCAUCUCUCACCCAUAUUACAUCGUUUUACGUGCAAUUUUAACCACCUGAAGCCCUUAUAUCAUCCCGAGACUCAAAGGAAGUCUCGAAGACCGAAGAUCCCGAGAAGAAAAGAGUUUCCGAGCCGAAGCUCUGCCCGCAAGAAACCCGGUGUGUGAAGUGAUCCCGGUUUCAACGAAGAAUACUACCAUUGCAAGCCGUAAUGCUGUCCGAUCAUCUUCUGAUCAUGUGAGUGUGUAGUUACUUUCUUCUAACACAUUAAUAUUAAGUAUUUGCUAUGAAAUACGUGCUAUGUUUGAAUAUAUAUUAUUGUUUAUUUCAGAUGUUUGUGGGAUGGAUAAAUUAUAUAGCUUUUAACGAGUUAAACUCUAUAUGUAUUUUGUAUCUGCAAAUAUGUUGGGUAGAACAUGGGUAGAUAAUAUUGUUGGUAUGUGAUAAAAUAUGACAUGGAUCUUGAGAUAAANGCUCUGCCCGCAAGAAACCCGGUGUGUGAAGUGAUCCCGGUUUCAACGAAGAAUACUACCAUUGCAAGCCGUAAUGCUGUCCGAUCAUCUUCUGAUCAUGUGAGUGUGUAGUUACUUUCUUCUAACACAUUAAUAUCAAGUAUUUGCUACGAAAUACGUGUUAUGUGUGUAUACAUAUUGUUGUUUAUUUGAGAGGUUUGUGGGAUGGACAAAAUAUAUAGGUUUUGAUGAGUUAAACUCUAUAUGUAUUUUGUAUCUGCAAAUAUGUUGGGUAGAACAUGGGCAGAUAAGAUUGUUGGUAUGUGAUAAAAGAUGACCUGGAUCAUGAGAUAAAAGGAUAAAGAGAUAAACUUGUUUUAGAUCUGGAUGUAUGGAUCAGAUCAGGAGGUUAGUUUUAGAUCCGAGAGUAUGGAUCAGAUCAAGAGGUUAGUUUUAGAUUCGGGAAUAUGGAUUAGGUAAUGAGGAAAAUUUAAGAUCCGGGAGUACGGAUUAUGUAUUUUUGAACUACGUGUUCUUUCAAUAAGGUAGCAUGAGUAUAGUCCCUUUUAGGAACAUGAUUUUAAUAUGAGUAUUGAUUAAAGUAUGAAAUAUGCAUAUGUAUGUAAAGUAUUUGUUAUUGUGUGAAAUACGUGUUAGAUAUAUUUGAUGAUAUACAACGUGUGAAUCAGUUAUGGUUCAAUAUGUGUUAAGAUGUGAAUAUAUGAUAUUAUUACUUAAAACUUUGUGUUAAGUAUACACUAGUCAGCAUUGCCUAAACGGAGUUAGUAUCGAAAAUUGAUUAUAAGCAUUGUACGCUUGCCUAGUGAUAGGUUAAGACUUAAAUAGGGAUGUUUAGUUCCAUUAAGUUUGGACAUUGGGUAGCCUCCUAUUAAGAUACGUGUGUUGUGAGAUUGAUGAUCGUUGGAGUACGUCCUACGUACAAAAGCACAUUUUAUGUAGGAAGUAUUUUUCAAAGCUCUGUGUCUUGGGUGUUGCUUGUGCCAGGGUACUAUUAUGUUCUCGGGUACGAUUCUUUCGCAUACCAGAGUACUAUAAUGUGCCAGAAGUACUAUCAUGUACAAAGUCUUUUUGACAAUUUUGUGUGUCGGUUACGGGAGCGUACGGGAGUACUCUAGUAGUAUUUCCCCAUACUUUUAUUUUGAGAGAGCUUUGGAGUCAGUGUUUCUUUUAUGAAGUGAUCGACCGACAUUCAUAUGUCAGCGUUUUCUUUCACGAAGUAAUUAAGGGAACUUCGUAGACUGCCUAAUAAAGUGUGUCGGUAACAGACCACUGCUAGGUAUGUCUGGUGUUAUAUUGUCGGAUAGGGUGCGUCUGGGGGUGAAAUACCUCAUGUAUUCAGGCCACUGNGACAUUCAUAUGUCAGCAUUUUCUUUCACGAAGUAAUUAAGGGAACUUCGUAGGGUCUGGGGAUAUAAUACCUCAUGAUAGUCAGACCACGCCUAGGCAUUGUUAUCUACCCCUAACUUAAAAUGUAUUGUGGUUCUUUCUUUUACGAACAAAGGUUCAUGGUGAAACUUAUUCCAUUCCCCUCAUUUGAUGUCUUUAUUGAUCCUCGUUUGCUGCUAGGGAAUUUCUGAAGCAACUUCGUCAGUUGUUUUUCAUAUCGAUUUCCUUAGGCUAUAUCUCAUAAGAUCAUUGUAUAGGGUCAGUAUGUGGGGAUCGACGGGAUGGGAUAGAUCGUUUUAGAAAUAUGGUAUAUAUGCUUUAAUAAUAUUAGUGGUUUUGCAGGAUCGAGAUAUACAUUAUUAUCAUCAUUGUUUGAACUAAGAGCUUUCGUACUCUGUGUUCCUUAGGUGAUUGGGUUCACCAGGGAUAUUUGAACUAAGAGUUCAUUAGGUGUUUUUGAACUAGGUGUUCAUUAAUUAUCGUGAACUGCGAGUUCACCAUAGGUAAUCUAAGAACCUUUGCAUCACUAAAAUUUGUGCCAAUUCCUUAGGGCAAUCCUUAGGAAUGAAUGGGAGAAGGGAAAUCGGUUCUUAGGAUAAAUAUUUAAGAAAUAAAUGGAGAUAAAUGGGGUAGGUAAUUGGAUUGAUUAUUUGAUAAUUAAAUAUAAUAAUUAUACUAUUGUGGGUUGAAAACUUUAUAUGCUCACCAGGCUCCCAAGCCUAACCCUCUCAGUUUUCUUUGUAUUACAGGUUAUGGCACGAGAGUAUAAGUUGGCUGACAUAACGAGAGAUUUUGGAUUAUAGGCUAGUAGUUAUGAAUAACUGUUGUAAGGUCUAUUUUGUUCUGUUUAUGCUUUUGGUCUGUAUUGAACAUGACAUCCCGAGAUUUUGUUAUAUAAUGAAAAUACAUUUCUUUAAAGAAAUGCUUUGAUAAAU
rnacentral:lncRNA from 1 species